AAGCCAUGUCCUCCAAUCUUUCACUCAACGCCUGCCUGAAAUAUUGCCAGGUACACUAUCAUAUGCUUAUAGAGGGAACUUUGACAAGACACCCGACUGUACAUUUUAUGAUGGGAAUGAUUUAGCACCCGAGUGUGGAUAAGAGCACAUUAACAUAAAAUUGUAAUUACUGCAAAUAUGCAAAUAAUUGAAAUAGUUUUGAAGUUCUUGUGUGAACUGCAAAUUCUUAGACUAUGUAGCUUCUGUAUUGAGCGCUUUCAUCAAACCAGGAAUUGGCCCAGCCAAUCCCGGUGCACCGUAUCUAUCAUAAUUUGGACAUUUUAGCCAUUUUACUAGCUGACUAGUGAAUGCUGUACAGCUCCCAAUUAUUUCAUUAAAAUAAAUAAUACAAGAUAAUAGACACCCGGUGCAGAUUGCUUAGUUCGAGGUUUUUAUAAAUGAAACAAACUGUAGCCAAUAAAGUUUCAAGAGGAAAUUGCAUCUCCCAUCGAACACUGACAUGCAGCCGAUCUGCAUAUUAAAGCCAUUUCUAUCACGUACAGCUACGCAGCAAAAAGGCAAACACAGAAUGCUGGAGGUGGAGGGGGGGCUGUAGGGUGGGCUUCUACAGUUACAGUGCUAUUAAUUAUUAAAAGGAAAAAAAAAACUAAAGAAAAUGAAUAAUAAUAAUAAAAAAAAACCCAGCAUAACAAAUUGUCUGCCAACCUACACAUUUGCCUUAAUUAACUUCUUCCUGAAAUAUUAGCUGAGUAUUUAGCAGAGCCAGGCACUAGUCUAAAAAUACUGUUAGUGUGUCAUUGUUGGAAUCCGAAGGUCCUUUUUAUUUUGAACAUCUGUGCUAACAGCUUCUUUUGGCAUCCACAGUGUCAUGGAGCUGGCAGCAGUUUAAUCUGGAUUAUGUGCACACAAUGUGUCAGUGUCCAUCAGUGAGAGGGGGUACCUGAAUUAGGACAUGGGACGUAGACCCCGGACUCCGAUUGGAGAACACAGACAAAAACGUUCUAAAUGUUACGUACAACAGGUUUACAUGCGUUACUUGUG